rnacentral:rRNA from 1 species
GAUCAUGGCUCAGGAUGAACGCUGGCGGCGUGCCUAAUACAUGCAAGUAGAACGCUGAAGGAGGAGCUUGCUCUUCUGGAAGAGUUGCGAACGGGUGAGUAACGCGUAGGUAACCUGCCUCUUAGCGGGGGAUAACUAUUGGAAACGAUAGCUAAUACCGCAUAAAAGUCAAUAUCGCAUGAUAUUGAUUUGAAAGGUGCAAAUGCAUCACUAAGAGAUGG